GCAAAGUAGUGCAGCAGCAGUAGCAGCAAGGCUUCUGUCCCUUGUAUUUCCUCCAGAGCAGUACUGGGGACUGAAGCUUGGCUCCUAUAUUUUUUGCGAUGGAUGUCUCACUGCGGUUGCCCAGUCUGAACUUGAACACGUGACAUUCUGGCCCAGCCUCCUAGAGUACGGGGGUUACAGGUUUGCUCCACCGUACCGUCCCCAUUUCACGAUGCAGGAUCGAAGCUGUGGAGUCUCUGUAACUGGCCAGGGUCACAGAGUGAGUGGACAGAAGAGAGUCCAGACCAAGGGCGGGGGCAGCUCGAGUCCUUACCUGUCACACUGUGUCUUCUCAGAAUGGCCUGGCUAAGCGAGUAAAACAGUCCGGAAGACAGAAAUGGAUGUGUGUGCUGGCCCGGGUGUUCCAGGACGCACCUGGAAAUUUCUAGUGCAUUCAGGAUAAUAAAGUGUAAGAGCGCGCUACGCGCCUCCCAGUCCUGGAAGCCAGCAGAGCAAGCUCCUGUGAUGAGGGUGGCUCGAGGCUGGAGCGGGCCGAGGUCGCUGUGAGGAGAGGACACUCCAGGGACAGGUGUCAGAGGCUGGUGGCACACGGCCCGCCCACCCCUGGACUCUGCCAAGGCGAUCGAUCUGGGCCUCUGGGGUUCGGACCUGCGCGGCUCUGGCCAUCGAGAGACCGCAGCCAUAGCUGAGCGCCCGAGAG
ensembl:lncRNA